AACGAACGCUGGCGGCAUGCCUAAAACAUGCAAGUCGAACGAAGGCUUCGGCCUUAGUGGCGCACGGGUGCGUAACGCGUGGGAAUCUGCCCUUAGCUUCGGAAUACCAGUUGGAAACGACUGCUAAUACCGGAUGAUGACGAAAGGCCAAUGAUUUAUAGCCUGAGGAUGAGCCCGCGUAGGAUUAGCUAGUUGGUGUGGUAAGAGCGUAUCGAGGCGAGGAUCCUUAGCUGGUCUGAGAGGAUGAUCAGACACACUGGGACUGAGAUACGGCCCAGACUGCUACGGGGGGAAGGAGUGAGAAAUGGUGGGCAAUGGGCGAAAUCCUGAGCCAGCAAAGCGGCGUGUGUGAUUAAGGCCUUCGGGUUGUAGAGCUCUUUUAGCCGGGAUGAUAAUGACAGUACCGGGAGAAUAAGCUCCGGCUAACUCCGUGCCAGCAGCCGCAGUAAUAC
rnacentral:rRNA from 1 species